rnacentral:rRNA from 1 species
UACGUAGGCAGCGAGCGUUGUUCGGAGUUACUGGGCGUAAAGGGUGUGUAGGCGGUUGUUUAAGUUUGGUGUGAAAUCUCCCGGCUCAACCGGGAGGGUGCGCCGAAUACUGAAUGACUUCGAGUGCGGGAGAGGAGAGUGGAAUUCCUGGUGUAGCGGUGAAAUGCGUAGAUAUCAGGAGGAACACCCGUGGUGUAGACGGCUCUCUGGACCGUAACUGACGCUGAGACACGAAAGCGUGGGUAGCAAACAGG